AGUUGUAACCGAUAGACUGGGCUGGGGCAACGCUGAUGAAAGGCAAAUUCCUGAGAGAAAAAUCACCCAGAUUUUUCAGUGCCUUCUCUAGCUUUCUAGAAGUUGUUAUGAGUGGACCUGACUACCUAGAGAGAGUAAUACAGAAGCUCCGUGCCGAUCACAGCUACCUCAUUACCAUGUUCCUCCAAGAUGGCCGCCCCUGAGGAGAAUCAUCAACUGGGCUUUACGGAAGAGAGAAAUCCAAACGACCAUCAGCAACAAAUGAAAGACUGAAGUUGAAAGUUUCAAGAUUGUCAAGAAUGACGAGUUGGACUUGGUCUAGUUACUUCCACAGCAGCAGGAGGAACAUGUGUGUGACUCAGGAUAACUGGGGAAGCCUUGGCUAGGCUUUCCUCAUGUCAACCUACCACUCAAAGGGAGAAAACCUCCUGAUCAGAGGUGCCCAGAACCCAGGAAAUCCAUAAUUUUUGAAUGCUGGCCGAGGUCUGUGACCUCUGACUGAAUGGUUUCCAAGCUCCGAAUUCCUAGGUGAUGUUUUCAUUUGUUCACACUUGCUGAAGAAGGGAAAGGCUCUCUGAUUUACGUGUAAGCAAAACAAUCUAAACAGUAGGAUAAAAUCAUGUUGGAAUGGAGUUCUGUGUGGAUGCUCCUUUGAACCAAAUCAGUUCCACAACUGACCCUGUCAGGGACAUAUAAAUUUAGCAUUUUGGUGUGGAUACAGAAGACGAGAUUAACACAGAUCAAGUAACAUGGAAAUAAAAAAGGAGACAAUGCUGGAUGAUACAGGGGCAGCCAACAAGAGGAGAAAACCCAAGCAUUGGCAAAUGCCUCAUUAUCCAAAGAACACUGAGGUGUGGAGCAAAACUGUGUUGAAUGAACUGUAGAUGGAAAUUCUCUCCUUCCCACCGAGGAGCCGCUGCAGGUUGCAGACUCCCAGAAUGCCACACUGAGAAGAGGAGGGCUAAAAUUCUAGAGCAGAAUCCCUGGGGCAGCCCCUGCUGAAGAAGGGUGCAUCUGUUGAGAAUCUCAUCACCGCCCCCACCCCGCCCAGCCUUCAAUUUAGAGGAAUUUCUAGUUCACGCAGAAUGAAGACAAGAUCACAUAAGUGAGGACGACGCCCCAUUUACAAGGGCCUCAGAGUAUGUCAGCUGGGGUCAGACGGGAACAGGAGUCUGGCUCAACACACAUUUAUUGCACUCCUGUUUCAUGCCAAGAAAUGUACCAAAAUCUGGGACUGUGUAACACAGCAAAGGAAAAGACUCAUCUCCAGGAAGCCCCCUUGUCUAGGAAGAGAAAUUGAAUAUCAGCAUAAGGUGGUGAAAAGCUGUGAAGGAGAUGAGUGCCAGGAGUCCAUGGAGGAAGGAUUCUAGCCUGGACAGAGUCUCCAUGAAUUGCAAGGGAAAACAAGUGGUACACUGGUAUUUCUAUUUGAUAACCUGUUCUCUUUGGAAUUCCGGUUAGAAAUCAAAGGCUUACUUGAGUUUUAAUGCUUUCGGGACUUCAAAUGCUUUUCUAUCUUCCUAAUAAUAUAUUAACAUUUUCUGAAGACAACAUAUAUGUGGAAAACAACAUUAUUUACUCAAAUAAUUUUUUUUGAAAAAUGGACCAAAAAAAAAGAAAAACCAACAAAAA
ensembl:lncRNA LINC01206 long intergenic non-protein coding RNA 1206